rnacentral:rRNA from 1 species
UCGAACCAAUCCAAAGGAAAGACCCGCAAUGAGUGUUACACACGCGGUGCGUGUAGGCCCUACCGGUCUUUACGCCCGCCGAGUCCGUGGGGGUCAUUCUUGCGUAUUAUGGAGCCGCUCGUGACUCUGUCGGAAAUAACCAAACCCCGGCGCGAAAAGCGCCAAGGACCAUCAAACGAAACACAGSUCAAUCCGGACACCCCGUACAAGGUGCGUGUCCCGAUGUGUGCUGCGAUCACUAGUCUAUARCGACUCUCGGCAMGAAUAUCUCGGCUCUCGCAUCGAUGAAGAACGUAGCAAAAUGCGAUACUUGGUGUGAAUUGCAGAAUCCCGUGAACCAUCGAGUUUUUGAACGCAAGUUGCGCCCCAAGCCGUCAGGCCGAGGGCACGCCUGCCUGGGUGUCACGCAUCGUUGUCCCCCCACCCGUCGCAGUUUAGCUCGGGUGAACACGGAGACGGAGGAUGGUCUCCCGUGUGUUUCCGCACGCGGUUGGCCCAAAACAAAGCCACGGACGCGGAGCGUUCGACGAGCGGUGGUGUAACCUCGUGGAUACGUCGGCCGUUCCCAUCCCAAUGCGCUUUCAUGACCCUUUCAGAGUCGCCUAAUCGGGCUCUCCGAACGCGACCCCAGGUCAGGCGGGA